GAGUCUUGGAGCUUACUUGUUAGGUAAUCUUUAAAAAUGUUAUUUGUAUUUUUACUUUUUGGAUUCUUUGAGAGAGCACUUGUGACCUGUGGGGGAGGUUCUAAAGCCUCAACCCAUAGCUUCCCUUUCCACCCUUUGUAGUUUGUGGGGUGUACAUAUAGGCAGUAAAAUGUGCUAAGAAGAACCCAUCUGCAUUGUUCUUUAGAGAUAUCUGAACCCUACAGACCCCAGCAAGAGGGCAAGAUUCUGUUGCACAAAGUGGGCAAAACCAGGUGAACUGCCCCCUGCCACCAAUAGAAAGUCAGCUCCCCCAGGCUUCUCUCUGGCUGGUUUUGUUACUUUCUCCUACCUUGGCAGCUGAAAUGGAGGCAGCCCUUGGCUGUAACAUCCAUGGUUGAUGGCCUGGCUGUGUGGUCCUGCCUCGCGGCUGCGUGGAACUGAAUGUGUGGACAGGGAUGUGCAUAAUCAUCCUGGGUGGAACCCCAGGGUCCCAGUGCUGGACCCUGGGGUCCUAGAGCUGCUCCUACCUGGUAUGGAUAUCCUGCUCUCCACCUGGGCCUAGGACUCCCAACUAUAAGUCAUAAGCCAUGGCAGGGUCUCAGAGAACAAGGGAAUUAGAAGGAAGGACUUUAGGGGUCAGGCCAAACCCACAAUUGGAGAAGCUGACUAAGGUCAGACAGAGAGGCAGUUGCAAGACUAAGAUUACAACCGAGGCCCUGCCCUACUCACACUAUGGGUUAAUGUUGCCAAUUUAGCCAUAGGGAGGGCCUGACUUCCGGCAAACUCCUGGCUUGCAGUGCUGAGCAGCAGGGCUGAGCAGUAAUUAGUGGAGAUGACCACUAGGUGUCACUGUCGCACCAUUAUCUGCGGCUGCACAGUGGCCAGAUUUUUUUUUUUUUUUUUUUUUUUUUUUUUUUUUUUUUUUUUUUAACCUCCCCAAAACAUGUGAACGCUGGCUUAACCGCCAACCUCAGGUAGGUGAAAGGGGUUUUUAAUUUUCAUUGUCACAAGCAUCAUAAAAGAAGCAGCAACUCCCAGGCUAAAGAAGGGGAGGACUGUUUUGACUUACUGCCCCAGAGAGCAUGGGUCUCAGCAGAGCUGCUGUUGCUGAAUUGGAGGGGCUUUUUUCUGGCUGUUAAUUGCUGCCCCUCGCUGAUGAUUGCGGAGUAGAAUCUGUUAGGACGUGGAUCUCCAAGUCUGUGACAUGGAAGGAACCUUAGAAAUCUGCAAGUCCAGCCCCUUCAUUUUUGGAGAAGGAAGCCCAGAAGAGAAGGCCAUUUCCCUAAGGCACACAGCUUGAUGGAGGCAGAACCGGGACUUGAACCUUAGACUCCAGAGUUCUCACCCAGUGCUCUGUUCUCACCCAGUGCUCUGUCCACUCCCCCGUGGUGCGUAUCUUUACACCACAUGUGCUCAUUCAUUCACUCCCUUAACAUCUAUUGAGCACUUACUCCAGGCUCAAUACAUGGGUAGUGAAGUUGCAAUGGCUCUAACAGAGGCGAAAUUGAUUUUAUUUGUCAGGCUGCGAAAUGGGAGAACUGGGCUCUAGGAAAGCCCUUUAGGCGUAAGCCAUGGCAGAGUCUCAGAGAACAAGGGAGUUAGAAGGAAAGAAUUUAGGGGCCAGGCAAAACCCCCAACUGGAGAAUCUGACUAAUGUCAGACAGAGGCAGUUGCAAGACUGAGAAUAUAACCUAGGCCCUGCCCUACUCACACUGUGGGUUAAUGUUGCCAAUUUAGCCAUAGGGAGGGCCUGACUUUGUGGUUGAAUGGAAAUGGAAACUCUUAAAGAGGCAAGAUGACGUGGCAUGUCAGUGACCAGAGAUCACAAGUGGGGCCAGUUUCCUUCCUUUUGGUCCAGAGUACUUGUCAAGCUCAUCCAAUCUUUAUGCAAACAACAGCAAAAGUGAGACUAGGAUUCAGACCAAGAUGAAGUCAGGUGAAGAUGAUGGAGCUGUGGCAGCUUGGAUGGUGCAUGCUCCUGCUGGGCUGCCUGGAUGCUCCACCUUCUGUGGCCCACACUGGAUACUGAUUGAAUGGGCAGGAAUCUUUGGACCUUGGAGGAUUUGAAGCUGCA
rnacentral:lncRNA from 1 species